rnacentral:rRNA from 1 species
UGAUCCUGGCUAGGCUGGAUCACCUCCUUUCUCCUGAGUUUUAUCCCGGAUCAGGGUGGAUCACCUCCUUUCUCCGCCUGUUUAACCCGGAUCCUCCGGGAAACCGGAGCUAAUACCGGAUAGUUCCUUGAACCGCAUGGUUCAAGGAUGAAAGACGGUUUCGGCUGUCACUUACAGAUGGACCCGCGGCGCAUUAGCUAGUUGGUGGGGUAAUGGCUCACCAAGGCGACGAUGCGUAGCCGACCUGAGAGGGUGAUCGGCCACACUGGGACUGAGACACGGCCCAGACUCCUACGGGAGGCAGCAGUAGGGAAUCUUCCGCAAUGGACGAAAGUCUGACGGAGCAACGCCGCGUGAGUGAUGAAGGUUUUCGGAUCGUAAAGCUCUGUUGUUAGGGAAGAACAAGUGCGAGAGUAACUGCUCGCACCUUGACGGUACCUAACCAGAAAGCCACGGCUAACUACGUGCCAGCAGCCGCGGUAAUACGUAGGUGGCAAGCGUUGUCCGGAAUUAUUGGGCGUAAAGGGCUCGCAGGCGGUUUCUUAAGUCUGAUGUGAAAGCCCCCGGCUCAACCGGGGAGGGUCAUUGGAAACUGGGAAACUUGAGUGCAGAAGAGGAGAGUGGAAUUCCACGUGUAGCGGUGAAAUGCGUAGAGAUGUGGAGGAACACCAGUGGCGAAGGCGACUCUCUGGUCUGUAACUGACGCUGAGGAGCGAAAGCGUGGGGAGCGAACAGGAUUAGAUACCCUGGUAGUCCACGCCGUAAACGAUGAGUGCUAAGUGUUAGGGGGUUUCCGCCCCUUAGUGCUGCAGCUAACGCAUUAAGCACUCCGCCUGGGGAGUACGGUCGCAAGACUGAAACUCAAAGGAAUUGACGGGGGCCCGCACAAGCGGUGGAGCAUGUGGUUUAAUUCGAAGCAACGCGAAGAACCUUACCAGGUCUUGACAUCCUCUGACAACCCUAGAGAUAGGGCUUUCCCUUCGGGGACAGAGUGACAGGUGGUGCAUGGUUGUCGUCAGCUCGUGUCGUGAGAUGUUGGGUUAAGUCCCGCAACGAGCGCAACCCUUGAUCUUAGUUGCCAGCAUUUAGUUGGGCACUCUAAGGUGACUGCCGGUGACAAACCGGAGGAAGGUGGGGAUGACGUCAAAUCAUCAUGCCCCUUAUGACCUGGGCUACACACGUGCUACAAUGGACAGAACAAAGGGCUGCGAGACCGCAAGGUUUAGCCAAUCCCAUAAAUCUGUUCUCAGUUCGGAUCGCAGUCUGCAACUCGACUGCGUGAAGCUGGAAUCGCUAGUAAUCGCGGAUCAGCAUGCCGCGGUGAAUAUGUUCCCGGGCUUGGUACACGCCCCCGCUUGCACCACCUCUUUUUCCCUGAGUUGGAUCUUGGCCCAGGUUGGAUCACCUCCUUUCCCCUGAGUUUGAUCCUGGCUCAGGCUGGAUCACCUCC